GACAGAGGUGCCAAGCGUUAGGCGGAAUCACUGGGCUUAAAGCGUGUGUAGGCGGACUUGUAAGUAUCUUGUGAAAUCCCACGGCUCACCCGUGGAACUGCUGGAUAUACUGCGAGUCUUGAGCCACUUAGGGGCUGUCGGAACAGGCGGUGGAGCGGUGAAAUGCGUAGAUAUCGCCUGGAACGCCAAAGGUGAAAACAGACAGCUGGGAGUGUGCUGACGCUGAGACACGAAAGCCAGGGGAGCGAACGGG
rnacentral:rRNA from 1 species